rnacentral:rRNA from 1 species
ACGGAGGGUGCAAGCGUUAAUCGGAAUCACUGGGCGUAAAGCGCGCGUAGGCGGUUGGAUAAGUCAGAUGUGAAAGCCCCGGGCUCAACCUGGGAAUAGCAUUUGAUACUGUUCGGCUUGAGUCUGGUAGAGGAGGGUAGAAUUCCCGGUGUAGCGGUGAAAUGCGUAGAGAUCGGGAGGAAUACCAGUGGCGAAGGCGGCCCUCUGGACCAAGACUGACGCUGAGGUGCGAAAGCGUGGGGAGCAAACAGG